rnacentral:lncRNA from 1 species
UUAAACUUAAAGAACACACUAAAUCCUUUGUCAAGAAAAACCAACAACUUACAAACACAAUAGCUAGGUACCUACAACUGAACAUUCUUUUUGUUUUUGUUCUUGUUUUUAUUUUGACGUAUUGGUGCCAAACAAAAAUAAAAAUAAUAGUCUCUAGACUUCACAAAAGUGUCAUAUUUGUUUUUUUUUUCUGCUAAAUUGAGAGUAUAUUGAAAGAAAACAAAGGAACAAGAUCUAGGACAUAAUCGCGAAACCACUACAGUCAGAGACAUACCAAUGAUGCAGAUGCUAUAGUCAAAAGACUAUAACUGUCAAACCCUAAGAAAAUGACUUUUCUACAAAUUUACUAAAUUUCUUAAUAGGGAAUAAUUUACAUUUGAUAAUGUUAUUACAAUCUCGAGCAGUGGUAGAGGCAGCAAAGGGUUUAUCUCCAUGGUAUAUGCGAUUUCGCUCGUUCAAUAUCUUGUAGACCAUAAUAGCCAAGCAAAGUUUUAUGAUGCACUAAGUCAUGUAAUCUAUUCGAAUGAACUGAACAUGAUGUAUAAGUUGAUCGCAGCUAAAAGAUAUCCCAAACCUAUCAGCAAAAAUAGCUCUAAAUAUAUGCGUAGAAACUCACAAUAAAAAAAGAGGUGAUCAAAUGAUUCAUUGGCUUGGUUGCAUAGGCAACACAUAUCAAGAGGCUACAUGACAAGUCCGUUAUGAAAAGCAAAUCAAAGGAGAAAAGAGGUAUCUGCAGGUUGUGUCAUACCAAUUUAUACUAACUUACAGUUGAGCCAAUACUGCGUAUGACAGCCCAAAUAGUGGAAGCUUUGACUUGAGAAUGUCCUGCCCAUAGCACUUGAUCAGGUAUGAUUGAGGGAGGAGGGAUUAAAAGGAGCUUCUGCUUCAUGAGAAGAAUGCUAGCAUAGUUCUAGGGAGGAGAAGACCAAGUACAGUUGCUUAUAAUCUCACUAACAAUGGCAUUAAACAAGAUCCCAAAAUAGAGACAAUGGGAUCGAGGGGUGCCGAGUAAGAGGUUGGUUUUCCAGCCAAGGAUCCUGCCACAGUCUAAUACCCGGACCAUUUCCAACUUUGUAUUCAAUAAAACGAACAACUAAUUUCCCAAGGUUCAAGACCUUUCUCCAAAUACAAGAAGCAUCAUAGGGGACGGGAGUAGUCCAAAAAUUGUGCUUUAAAAUCAUAGUCUUUCGAACCCAUUCUGCCCAAAAAGAGGUAGAAUUAAAAC